rnacentral:lncRNA from 1 species
GCUACUUCGGAAAAGGUAUAUUUGGCAGAUGACCGAAAGGCGGCCGAGAAACGAAACCUUUGACUCUCCUCUUCCGUUCCCACUAGGCGCGCUAUUACGUCCAGUUAAGGAGGAGAUUCCGAUCCCGGCUUGUGCACGGAGACAAAAAAAUAUCUUCUCCAACACUGCAUCACGACCCUCCAAGUUUGCGGAGUGGUCAGUUGAGUGUGGGUUAAGUAUAUGGCUACCCUCUUUGCUUUAUGAAAUUUUAGCUCCCGGUGUUCACUGUGGUAUUGUAUGCGAAAACUACAUAAGCUAACAUUUCAUCCCA